rnacentral:rRNA from 1 species
GACGUAGGGCGCGAGCGUUGUCCGGAUUUAUUGGGCGUAAAGAGCUCGUAGGCGGCUUGUUGCGUCGUCCGUGAAAACCCACGGCUUAACUGUGGGCUUGCGGUCGAUACGGGCGGGCUGGAGUUCGGUAGGGGAGACUGGAAUUCCUGGUGUAGCGGUGAAAUGCGCAGAUAUCAGGAGGAACACCGGUGGCGAAGGCGGGUCUCUGGGUCGAUACUGACGCUGAGGAGCGAAAGCGUGGGGAGCGAACAGG